rnacentral:rRNA from 1 species
UACGUAGGGUGCAAGCGUUGUCCGGAAUUAUUGGGCGUAAAGAGCUCGUAGGCGGUCUGUCGCGUCGGCUGUGAAAACCUAGGGCUCAACCCUGGGCCUGCAGCCGAUACGGGCAGACUAGAAUUCGGUAGGGGAGACUGGAAUUCCUGGUGUAGCGGUGAAAUGCGUAGAGAUCGGGAGGAACACCAGUGGCGAAGGCGGCCUUCUGGACCAAUACUGACGCUCAUGCACGAAAGCGUGGGGAGCAAACAGG